ensembl:lncRNA LINC00963 long intergenic non-protein coding RNA 963
GCGGCCGCCUCUCCACGCCCUGCCCCGGGCCGCCCGCCAGGCCGCCGUUUCCCGGAGCCGGCCCCCUCCCGCCCUCGCGGCCGGCUGAUGUCAUCUGCACACAACUUUCCGCUUCCCGGCCCGUCUCGGGGCCCUGAGUCAUCGCCGCCCCCGGCCCCGACGCUGGCCUGCGGCGUCUGUUUGUGCAGAGCGAGGCCCCGCCGGCCGGGCUUGACGUCAGGCUGGCAGGGCCUGGAACGGCCCCGCAUCGCGGCCCCCUGGGGGCAGGACGACACCGCUGGGGGCCGAGGGCAGGGCACGCCUUCGGAAUCCGGCUUCGAAGCCGGCCGCCUGACCUGGGGCAAGUGCUUUCAACUCUCUGAACUUCGGUUCCUCAUCUGCCAGUUGGCAGACGCUCAGCAAAUCUUCCUAGACUCACGGGGCGAAUUGUACAGUUGGGUAAAUCGAGGCCCAGAGAUGGCAAAAGGACCGUCCAAGGUCGUACAGCCACCCGGAAUUACAAUUCUUUUCUGCCGGGUCACACGCUGUCAUCCACGUGUUACCUAAGAGAGCUUUCCAGCCUGUGCUAAGAAAACUGCCCCACAUCAUCUGCAGUAGGACGGGGGAGUUGGAGCCCUGGUCAGGCCACUCUGCUACUGACCACAGUUUUCUCAUCUCUAAAAAGGCGCAGUAACAAUAUAAUUACCGUAUGCAGUCCCCCAGGAUACAGGGUCAAAGGAGAGCACAACCAUCGCAGUUGGAAGCCCAUGGGGCAGCAGGGCCCAGGACACAGUGAGCAUACAAUAGACAUUAGCUGCUGUGGUGUCUUGAUUUCAAGCCCAGUGCAGAUGCAUCUGACUUACGAAACUUCAGUGACACCUGCUCUGUGCCAGACACUGAAGAUGGAGCAGUGAACAGCACUGACCCAGCCUGUCCUCCUGUUGCCUGCAGGCCAGAAGCAAGGUCUCGCUGUGUUACCCUGGCUGGAGUGCAGUGGCUACUUACAGGCAUGAUCAUAGCAUACUGCAGCCUCGAACUCCUGGACUAGAGCAGUUCUCCUGCCUCAGCCUCCAGAGCAGCUGGGACUGCAGACACGCACCACAGAGCCCAGCCUGAGUCAUUUUGAUUCUGUAACUGGCUUCCUCUCGGCGGGCAGGCUCACACCCUCCACCCCCAGCUGGAGAUGGAAGGAGGAUGCUCACCGCCCAUUCCUCAUGCAGGCCAUCGAUGGAAAUGUCAGACAGUGCGAGUCCACGCCUGAACACUUCUGGGGUCCGCUCUGGGACUGACACUGGCAGAUCCAUCGGUGAGCUCCCGCCUGCCACCUCUGGGCCUGCAUUGCGGUGAUAGGGCCAAGGGCCUGGGCCUUCAAUUCUCCAGACUUGCCAAAAUGCUCAGCGCAGGCCUCGUCGGCAACUGCAGACAAGCAGAGGCAGCACCUGGGCUCUGCCUGUGCCUGGCACAGUGAAGCGAGGGUGGGGGCAGGAAUGAGGGUCCUCUCCAUGCAAGGGGGGAAGAUAGAAGAACAAAAUUUCACCCUAAUGUAGUGUCUUUAGACCGUGCAAUGUUGUGCUCCUGUUAGUCUGAUAUCAGGGGCUUGCAGCCUGGCAAAGGAAAAAAAACAGGCUGAGGCACAUGAUAGAAGACAGGCAGGGAUGCCACAAUCAUAACCAUGGCAAAGACCAGGAUCAGAAAGGCCCACCAUCUCUGACCCCAAAUCCCUGGGCAGAUGGUUCCAGAACUCAGAAUUUUCCCAGUUGUAGAAAGAUGGGGCCAGGUGCAGUGGCUCACGCCUGUAAUCCCAGCAUUUUGGGAGUACAAGGUGGGCGGAUCACCUGAGGUCAGGAGUUCGAGACCAGCCUGGCCAACAUGGUGAAACCCUGUCUCUACUAAAAAAAAAAAAAAAAAUUAGCCGGGCGUGGCGAUGCAUGCCUGUAAUCCCAGCUACUCGGGAGGCUGAGCCAGGAGAAUUGCUUGAACCCGGGAGGCGGAGGUUGCAGUGAGCCAAGAUCGCGCCACUACACUCCAGUCCGGGCGACAGAGCAAGAGUCCAUUCCCCCACCACCAAAAAAAAAAAAAAAAGAAAGAAA